rnacentral:rRNA from 1 species
UCAAAAACAUGUCUUUUUGUAAAUAAUAUAAAGUUUAAUCUGCCCACUGAUUUAAUUAUUAAAGGGCUGCAGUAUUUUGACUGUACAAAGGUAGCAUAAUCAUUAGUCAUUUAAUUGAUGACUUGUAUGAAAGAUUGGAUGAAAUAUAUACUGUCUCUUAUUUAUAAUAUAAAAUUUAAUUUUUUAGUUAAAAAGCUAAAAUUAAUUAAAAAGACGAGAAGACCCUAUAGAGUUUUAUAAAUUAUAAUUAUUAAGAUUAUUUAUAAAAUUAAUAAUUAAAAUAAUUUAAUUUAAUUUGUUGGGGUGACAAAAAAAUAAAAAUAACUUUUUUUUUAUAAAACAUAAAUAAGUGAAUAAUUGAUCCAAUAUUAUUGAUUAUAAGAAAAAAUUACCUUAGGGAUAACAGCGUAAUUUUUUUUUUUAGUUCAUAUAAAAAAAAGAGUUUGCGACCUCGAUGUUGGAUUAAGAUAAAAUUUAAAUGCAGAAGUUUAAAAUUUUUGAUCUGUUCGAUCAUUAAAAUCUUACAUGAUCUGAGUUCAACCGGA